rnacentral:rRNA from 1 species
GACGAACGCUGGCGGCGUGCCUAAUACAUGCAAGUUGAGCGCUGAAGGUUGGUACUUGUACCAACUGGAUGAGCAGCGAACGGGUGAGUAACGCGUGGGGAAUCUGCCUUUGAGCGGGGGACAACAUUUGGAAACGAAUGCUAAUACCGCAUAAAAACUUUAAACACAAGUUUUAAGUUUGAAGGAUGCAAUUGCAUCACUCAAAGAUGAUCCCGCGUUGUAUUAGCUAGUUGGUGAGGUAAAGGCUCACCAAGGCGAUGAUACAUAGCCGACCUGAGAGGGUGAUCGGCUACAUUGGGACUGAGACACGGCCCAAACUCCUACGGGAGGCAGCAGUAGGGAAUCUUCGGCAAUGGACGAAAGUCUGACCGAGCAACGCCGCGUGAGUGAAGAAGGUUUUCGGAUCGUAAAACUCUGUUGGUAGAGAAGAACGUUGGUGAGAGUGGAAAGCUCAUCAAGUGACGGUAACUACCCAGAAAGGGACGGCUAACUACGUG